GCCUCAGUGGUGUAAAAGAAAGCGCGGAUGAGCGGAUAUCUGUAAGUGCGGGUUCGAGUCCCGCCUGAGGUU
rnacentral:tRNA from 1 species